rnacentral:tRNA from 1 species
GCCUGGCUGGCUCAGUUGGUAGAACAUGUGACUCUUGAUCUUGGGGUUGUGGGUUCAAGCCCCACGUUGGGUG